GUUGGGUAGGGGAGCGUUCUGUAAGCCGUUGAAGGUGUGCUGUGAGGCAUGCUGGAGGUAUCAGAAGUGCGAAUGCUGACAUAAGUAACGAUAAAGCGGGUGAAAAGCCCGCUCGCCGGAAGACCAAGGGUUCCUGUCCAACGUUAAUCGGGGCAGGGUGAGUCGACCCCUAAGGCGAGGCCGAAAGGCGUAGUCGAUGGGAAACAGGUUAAUAUUCCUGUACUUGGUGUUACUGCGAAGGGGGGACGGAGAAGGCUAUGUUAGCCGGGCGACGGUUGUCCCGGUUUAAGCAUGUAGGCGGAGGUUCCAGGUAAAUCCGGUACCUUUUAACGCUGAGGUGUGAUGACGAGGCACUACGGUGCUGAAGUAACAAAUGCCCUGCUUCCAGGAAAAGCCUCUAAGCAUCAGGUAACACGAAAUCGUACCCCAAACCGACACAGGUGGUCAGGUAGAGAAUACCAAGGCGCUUGAGAGAACUCGGGUGAAGGAACUAGGCAAAAUGGUGCCGUAACUUCGGGAGAAGGCACGCUGACAUGUAGGUGAAGCCCCUGCGGGUGGAGCUGAAGUCAGUCGAAGAUACCAGCUGGCUGCAACUGUUUAUUAAAAACACAGCACUGUGCAAACACGAAAGUGGACGUAUACGGUGUGACGCCUGCCCGGUGCCGGAAGGUUAAUUGAUGGGGUUAUCCGUAAGGAGAAGCUCUUGAUCGAAGCCCCGGUAAACGGCGGCCGUAACUAUAACGGUCCUAAGGUAGCGAAAUUCCUUGUCGGGUAAGUUCCGACCUGCACGAAUGGCGUAAUGAUGGCCAGGCUGUCUCCACCCGAGACUCAGUGAAAUUGAACUCGCUGUGAAGAUGCAGUGUACCCGCGGCAAGACGGAAAGACCCCGUGAACCUUUACUAUAGCUUGACACUGAACAUUGAGCCUUGAUGUGUAGGAUAGGUGGGAGGCUUUGAAGCGUGGACGCCAGUCUGCGUGGAGCCAACCUUGAAAUACCACCCUUUAAUGUUUGAUGUUCUAACCUGGCGCCCUGAUCGGGCGUGGGGACAGUGUCUGGUGGGUAGUUUGACUGGGGCGGUCUCCUCCUAAAGAGUAACGGAGGAGCACGAAGGUUGGCUAAUCCUGGUCGGACAUCAGGAGGUUAGUGCAAUGGCAUAAGCCAGCUUGACUGCGAGCGUGACGGCGCGAGCAGGUGCGAAAGCAGGUCAUAGUGAUCCGGUGGUUCUGAAUGGAAGGGCCAUCGCUCAACGGAUAAAAGGUACUCCGGGGAUAACAGGCUGAUACCGCCCAAGAGUUCAUAUCGACGGCGGUGUUUGGCACCUCGAUGUCGGCUCAUCACAUCCUGGGGCUGAAGUAGGUCCCAAGGGUAUGGCUGUUCGCCAUUUAAAGUGGUACGCGAGCUGGGUUUAGAACGUCGUGAGACAGUUCGGUCCCUAUCUGCCGUGGGCGCUGGAGAAUUGAGGGGGGCUGCUCCUAGUACGAGAGGACCGGAGUGGACGCAUCACUGGUGUUCGGGUUGUCAUGCCAAUGGCAUUGCCCGGUAGCUACAUGCGGAAGAGAUAAGUGCUGAAAGCAUCUAAGCACGAAACUUGCCCCGAGAUGAGUUCUCCCUGAGACUUAGAGUCUCCUGAAGGAACGUUGAAGACGACGACGUUGAUAGGCCGGGUGUGUAAGCGCAGCGAUGCGUUGAGCUAACCGGUACUAAUGAACCGUGAGGCUUAACCUUACAACGCCGAAG
rnacentral:rRNA from 1 species